GGAGAAUCACCUGCUUCUGCUUCUCGAGUGCUUGAACUAAGGACAUGCACCACCACCACCCCGAAUUUCUAUGAUCAAUAACUCAAGUGAUAACUCAUGCUGGAAAGAAUGUGGAUCAAGGGGACCACUCCUUUUUUUGUAGAACCUUCAUCUAGCGAUGGAUGGAGAUAGAGACAGAGACCCACACUGGAGCACCGGACUGAGCUCCCAAGGUCCUAAUGAGGAGCAGAAGGAGGGAGAACAUGUACAACGAAGUCAGGACCACGAGGGGUGCACCCACCCACUGAGACAGUCGGACCGAUCUAUUGGGAGCUCACCAAGGCCAGCUGGACUGUGACUGAAAAAGCAUGGGAUAAAACCGGACUCUCUGAACAUGGCGGACAAUG